GGAUACCCGCUGAACUUAAGC
rnacentral:rRNA from 3 species